rnacentral:rRNA from 1 species
UACGAAGGGGGCUAGCGUUGCUCGGAAUCACUGGGCGUAAAGGGUGCGUAGGCGGGCCUUUAAGUUAGGGGUUAAAUCCUGGAGCUCAACUCCAGAACUGCCUUUGAUACUGAGGAUCUUGAGUCCGGGAGAGGUGAGUGGAACUGCGAGUGUAGAGGUGAAAUUCGUAGAUAUUCGCAAGAACACCAGUGGCGAAGGCGGCUCACUGGCCCGGUACUGACGCUCAGGUGCGAAAGCGUGGGGAGCAAACAGG